rnacentral:rRNA from 1 species
AUUGAACGCUGGCGGCAGGCCUAACACAUGCAAGUCGAGCGAGUGGCGGACGGGUGAGUAAUGUCUGGGAAACUGCCUGAUGGAGGGGGAUAACUACUGGAAACGGUAGCUAAAACCGCAUACAUUGGGUGUUGCCCAGAUGGGAUUAGCUGGUAGGUGGGGUAACGGCUCACCUAGGCGACGACCCCUAGCUGGUCUGAGAGGAUGACCAGCCACACUGGAACUGAGACACGGUCCAGACUCCUACGGGAGGCAGCAGUGGGGAAUAUUGCACAAUGGGCGCAAGCCUGAUACAGCCAUGCCGCGUGUAUGAAGAAGGCCUUCGGGUUGUAAAGUACUUUCAGCGGGGAGGCGUUACCCGCAGAAGAAGCACCGGCUAACUCCGUGCCAGCAGCCGCGGUAAUUC